CACGUAGGGUGCGAGCGUUGUCCGAAAUUAUUGGGCGUAAAGAGCUCGUAGGCGGUGUGUCGCGUCGGCCGUGAAAACCUGCAGCUUAACUGUGGGCUUGCGGUCGAUACGGGCAUCACUGGAGUUCGGCAGGGGAGACUGGAAUUCCUGGUGUAGCGGUGAAAUGCGCAGAUAUCAGGAGGAACACCGGUGGCGAAGGCGGGUCUCUGGGCCGAUACUGACGCUGAGAAGCGAAAGCAUGGGGAGCGAACAGG
rnacentral:rRNA from 1 species